UGACUUUUUUCAUCCUUCUUUUUUUUAUUUCUCCUUCCCUUUGUCUGUCUCAAAAUGGCAUCUGAGAACUUCAGACAGUGGCUUGAGGAGGGGAAAGCGUUGGCAGAUGAGUUGGAAGCCAAAAAGCCAUCAAAGAAAAGGAAACAGAAGGGAACCGGAGGCUCCAAUGUUUCCUGGAGGACGAGGGACCAUAAUGGGUACAUAGUACCAAAAUUCAUCAGAAAGAAUCGAUCUGUUAAACACAGGCGCACUAUGGAGGUGCCAGAAGUUGAGACCUCGCAGAUGGAUGAAGUUCCUCAAGAGGUCACAAAUCUUGGUAUGCAUAUUGAAUUCUGUCAGCUCAAAUAGAGUCAAACUUAAUCUUCUAGUUUG